ensembl:lncRNA
CGAACCCUGCUAGUAAACGUUUAUUCUUCUGAAUCUACCCCUGUGCUGAGUCGUGCGAUUGAGUUCUGCACAACACCCACCAUUCGUAACAGUACGACGACACCAAAGAUGGACUCAGCCGACUCAGACUCAGUGCUCAGACUCAGUUUGAGCAAACAAGCCUCCUCUCUCUGCCUCGUGACAAGGGGAAUAGAGGAGCAAGGGAGAAGUUCCCUGAAGUCCCUGAACCUGCUGUUGGGACAAUUCGAGCAGCUCCUGGAUCGUUGGGAUUCCCUCGCUGCACCUCCCUCUCCAGCUCCGGUUCCAUGCCGCCUGGAUUCCGGCUCCAGGGUUUCAGCUUCACUCACCAAUACUGCUCUGGCUUCAGCUCCGACUCCACGUCUCCUGCCUCCCGCCGUCAGGACAGCCGCAGUCGCCCUAGGAAGAGCUUCUGACGCUGUCAACCUCGAAGCAGCCUCUACCAAUGCCACCAUCAAAGCGGUCUCUGACGCCGUCAACGCAGCCUUUGGAGCUUCCACCCUUGAAGCUAUCUCCGCCGCCCUCGAAGCUGCCUAUGCAGCAUUGGAAAGAUUUUCUGUCACACCCAAAGAAGCCUCUGGCGCUGCCUUGCUCGAUGCAGCUUCUAUUGCCAUCGAUGCAGCCUCUGCCACCCUCGAAGCAGCCUCUGAUGCUGCCGCCUCCGAGGUCGUCUCUGCUGCCCCAGAGGUAGCCUCCGUCGCUACCACUCCCAAAGCAGCCUCUGCCUUCCCCGAAGCAGCCUCUGACGCUGCCGCCCCAGAAGCAGCCUCUGACGCUGCCGCCCCUGAAGUAGCCUCCGUUGCUACCGCCCCAGAAGCAGCCUCUGACGCUGCCGCCUCCGAGGUCGUCUCUGCUGCCCCAGAUGUAGCCUCCGUCGCUACCACUCCCAAAGCAGCCUCUGCCUCUCCCGAAGCAGCUUCUGAUGCUGCCACCCCCGAAGCAGCCUCUGACGCUGCCGCCCCCGACGUAGCCUCUGUUGCUAGCAACCCCGAAGCAGCCUCUGUCGCUGCUGUCCCUGAAGCAGUCUCUGAAGAAAUUGCUGAUGGUGACGCCACUGAGGCCUACGCCACAGCAGAACCAGCCGCCGCAGAUCAAGCCGCCGCUCUCCCUGCAGACCGAGCCGUCGCUCACCCUGCAGACCCGGCCGUCGCUGACCCUGCAGACCCGGCCGUCGCUGACCCUGCAGACCCGGCCGUCGCUGACCCUGCAGAACCAGCCGCCGCAGAUCAAGCCGCC